CUCACUUCUAGGCAUGCUUAUGCCUUGUGAUUAAUUCUCCAUUUGUUCAACCUAUCUGUUGGAUGGACAGAGAAAACAUUGAAGUCCUAGAAGAAGGCUGAGCCACACCAUGGAAAGAACUAAUCUCUGAAUGACUAUGGGAAUAGAGGCCCUCACUGCUCUUAAAGACUUCUGGAACACUACAGUAAGGAUACAAGACCUAGAACAAGUAAAUAGAAUUAUGCCGAUUACAGUCAUGGAAUUUUAGUGUUCUAUGAAGUCAGCAAAGUCAGAAAUUAUGAGCAUGUUCUUUGCUCUUAAGAGUAUGAUCAAAAUCAUUUGUGCACCUCAGAUUUGCCUCCCUCUUGGAUCACUCAUUCUCAGGGAAAUCAGCCACCAUUUUCUGAGCUGCUUUACAGAGAAGCCCAGGAGGUAAAGAGCUGGGGGGACUAUAGUCCAGCAGCCAGCAAGGAAAUGAAGCCUGCCAACAACCAGGCAAGUGAGCUUUGAAGUGGAUUCUCUGGUCCUAAUACAGCCUUCAGAUGAGAGCAGGCCACGCCAACUGUACUCUGGUGAGAGAUGCUGAGCAAGAACCACCCAGAUGCCCACGCCCAGACUCCAAGCCCUCAGAAUCUGUGAGAUAAUAAACGUUGUUUUAACCUGCCCCUUGAGGAAAACGAAUAUAGACACAAAGAGCACAGAGUGUGGGGACAUAACGUGUUGCUUUAUCUCUCAGAACUUUAUCUUCCCAUUCUUAAAACCAGGUCUUACUUAACUA